AUCUUGCACAAUGGGCGAAAGCCUGAUGCAGCGACGCCGCGUGGGGGAUGAAGCUUCUCGGAGUGUAAACCCCUUUCGACCGGGACGAAUACCUCGCAAGAGGGGUGACGGUACCGGUAUAAGAAGCCCCGGCUAAUUACGUGCCAGCAGCCGCGGUAAGACGUAGGGGGCCAGCGUUGCUCGGAAUUACUGGGUGUAAAGGGUUCGUAGGCGGUGUGGCAAGUCGGGAGUGAAAUCUCUGGGCUCAACUCAGGGGCUGCUUCCGAAACUGCCGUGCUAGAGUGUGGGAGAGGCGCGUGGAAUUGCAGGUGUAGCGGUGAAAUGCGUAGAUAUCUGCAGGAACACCCGUGGCGAAAGCGGCGCGCUGGACCACUACUGACGCUGAGGAACGAAAGCUAGGGGAGCAAACAGGAUUAGAUACCCUGGUAGUCCUAGCCCUAAACGAUCAGGA
rnacentral:rRNA from 1 species